AACAAACGCUGGCGGCGUGCCUAAUACAUGCAAGUCGAACGGGGAAAGCUUUCGGGUGAGUACUAGUGGCGCACGGGUGAGGAACGCGUGGAUAAUCUGCCUUAGAGUGGGGGAUAACUAGUCGAAAGAUUAGCUAAUACCGCAUAAGACCACGAGAGCUGCGGCUUUUGAGGUCAAAGGUUUUUCGCUCUAAGAUGAGUCCGCGUAAGAUUAGCUAGUUGGUGAGGUAACGGCUCACCAAGGCGACGAUCUUUAACUGGUCUGAGAGGAUGAUCAGUCACACUGGAACUGAGACACGGUCCAGACUCCUACGGGAGGCAGCAGUAGGGAAUAUUGCACAAUGGAGGAAACUCUGAUGAAGCGACGCCGCGUGAGUGAUGAAGGCCUUCGGGUCGUAAAGCUCUGUCGCAGGGGAAUAACACAAUGAAGGUACCCUGUAAGAAAGGAUCGGCUAACUUCGUG
rnacentral:rRNA from 1 species